rnacentral:rRNA from 1 species
AACGAACGCUGGCGGCAGGCUUAACACAUGCAAGUCGAACGAGAUCUUCGGAUCUAGUGGCAGACGGGUGAGGAACACGUGGGAAAAUCCCUUUCAGUUCGGAAUAACGUUGGGAAACUAACGACAAUACCGGAUACGUCCUUCGGGAGAAAGAUUUAUCGCUGAAAGAUUGGACCGCGUCUGAUUAGCUAGGUGGUGAGGUAAGGGCUCACCAAGGCUACGAUCAGUAGCGGAUCUGAGAGGAUGAGCAGCCACAUUGGGACUGAGACACGGCCCAAACUCCUACGGGAGGCAGCAGUGGGGAAUAUUGGACAAUGGGCGCAAGCCUGAUCCAGCCAUGCCGCGUGAGUGAUGAAGGCCUUCGGGUUGUAAAGCUCUUUUAUCCGGGAAGAUAAUGACUGUACCAGAAGAAUAAGCCCCGGCAAACUUCGUGCCAGCCGCCGCCGUAA